AGACAGAAGGGACAUAAUUUAAGUUAGUUGUAGAAUACACCUUGUGGCGCAACCUGGACACAUCUUCAGUGAUGUACCCGGGGUCAUAGGGUGUUU